rnacentral:miRNA from 1 species
CCUGAAUGGUGGGUGGUGAGACAGAGAGCCUAGCGUGGCUCCCUGACUCUGGCCUUCCACAG